rnacentral:lncRNA from 1 species
GUUGUAUCAAAGAACUGUCUGCUCAGGAAGAGCAGAAAAAGAUAACAGACUUUUUUGUUUAGCAGCCAUUACCUUGUACCACGGUGUCUGACAGCUCUUUUGUUCAAAAGUAGGAGACUGAUUUUGUAAGGUCAUGCAGAUUUGGCCACUGUUGGUAAAGGGAUGAUAUG